AACUUCUCAAGCGGGACAACGUACGGAGUCGCCGCGUCGAACUCGAACACGAGAACAUACGACGAAUUUUAUCCUUUUACGCGUCUUGCGUGAAAUUUCCGCUGCACGACUAUUUUCACCGCUUUAAGAUGGUCAAAUUAACUCCAGAUUUGAUACAACAAUCUAUGCAAUAUAUAAAUCCUGUCAGGGAUCGUGAACUGGAUCUUAGAGGAUACAAAAUACCAGCGAUAGAGAACUUAGGAGCAACUUUGGACCAGUUUGAUACAAUAGACUUUUCAGAUAAUGAUAUAAGGAAAAUAGAUGGAUUUCCACUGUUGAAGCGUAUCAAAACGCUUUUCUUUAACAACAACCGCAUAGUCAGAAUAGGAGAGGGUUUGGAAUUCUGUAUACCCAACCUAGAAACAUUAAUGCUCACAGGAAACAUGAUUCAAGAACUUGGGGACAUAGAAGCUCUUAUUCCAUUGCAAAAUCUUACUAAUCUUUGCCUGCUGCAAAAUCCAAUCUCAGCGAAAUCUCAUUACAGACCAUAUCUUGUGUAUAAACUGCCACAGUUGAGAUUACUGGAUUUCAAAAAAAUUAAGCAAAAGGAACGUCAAGAGGCAACAGCAUUCUUUAAGAGUCCGAAGGGCAAGGAAAUAGCUAAAGAAAUAACAAAGAAGGCCAAGGCUCAGGCUCAGGGAUCCAAUGGAAUGGAUAGACCUGCUAUGAGUGGAAACGAGAGAGACAAAAUCAAGGAAGCCAUUUCAAAUGCCACAUCACUUGAAGAAGUACAGAGGCUCAGCAAAUUACUGCAGUCGGGACAUAUUCCAGGAGAUAAUAGGCAUCGAAAUGGUAUUAGAUGAGUUUCUUUUUAAAUUUCAGAUUGCGUUUACUCCAAGUGAAACAAAUCAUGUGUAAUAUCUUUGAAUUUGUUAGUAGCAGUGACUACUUUUGACUUGAUGAUUUACAUUUUCUUCUGUUAUUUUACAGGGCUGGAACGUAUGCAAUCAAAGAUUGAGCCUCAUUUAGAAAAAUUUUAUAUAAAUAUUUUUUAAAGUAUUUCUUUUUAAACAAACUUCCUAAAUAAUCAUUAAGUUCUUUAACGUUUUAUUAGUAGCAAAUGAUUUAAAUUACUCGAUUUUUUUUUUUAAAUUUAAAAAUAAAUUCAUUUUAUGUCAGAUGGUAUUAAUAAUAUAUUUCAAUUUUUUGCAGUUGCAAUUAGCUGUUCUGCGAAAAGAAUUAAUUUGAUUCUUUCCCAUUUUGUCCAGCCCUGAUCAUUGAUAUUUCUUAUAAACUAAUGAUUUCUGCUUUUGAAUGUUUAGGAAACUCAAGCAUGGAUCCAAUGGAAGAAGAUGACGACUAAACUCUAUUCAGAUUUACUUUAAGAGCAUUAAUUAAGGCAUUAAUAUAAGUAUUUACAACUGAAUAAAUUGUGGUAAUCUGACUCAAAUAUCAAGCUCAUAAUCGGUUUACUACACUAACGAUUGAUUAAUUAGUGAUAUUUUGAGUCAAAUGAUUGCUUGAUCCGGCAUAUAUAGGCUUAUAAAUGUAAAUAAUUGAUAGAGAAUAAAUAAGAAAAUCCAACGUAGUCGCAGGCCUGGAAGCGAACCAUUCUACCGUCUUGGAAAUAUUUCUAAUGCGUUGGUUUUUUCUUAUUUCAGCUGGAAUUUAAUAAAUUUUUGAUACUCAUGUUAAAGUGUAUUUACUCCUGAUUGGUCUUAACUCCUUCCUUAUUUACUAUUAACCGUGCUAUGAUUUUUAAAGUUAUAUGCUAUAUUUUGAAAUUUUUAGUCGAGCUAAAAUUAUUUAUCGACAAUUAGUAAAUCAUGAGCAAUCAAGAAUUAAUUUAAAAAAGAUUUCACAAAAAAAGUUAAAUAUGCAAUUACAUAAUGUAAAGAACGCCGCCAGAUGACAGCACGUGCUUGUGCACUGCAGAACUCUUGCUCUUCUGCAAGGGUUCGGGAGAGAAAGAUCGUUGGCAAAAGGUGGAAAAGUGAUAAAACAUCAGUCCACCAGGAUGGGGAACAUGUUCGUGCGUACCUGGGACAAUUUUUGGAAUCCGGAGUUAAACCCGGUGCCCUAUGGCCCAGUUACCUUCGAUCCGUUCUUUGGAAUUGGUCCGCGAAAGGAGAGAGUUAUGGUAGCAAAAGAAGAAGAGCUGAGAGCUGCCAAAAUACCAAAGGACAAGUGGGACUUUUGUGCACACACGCUACUCGAAGUUGAGAGAUGUAGAGCCGAUCACUUUCCUUUUGUCUAUAGGUGCAAAGAACAGGCUCAUGCUGCCAGCAUGUGUAAUUUAGAAGACUACUUGUUGAGAAUGAAAGAGUAUGAAAGGGAGCGCAGAUUACUUCGCAGAAAGCACCGCAUUGAACAGGCUCAAGCUCAAGCUCAAGGAGCAUAAAUCUUUUUAGCAUAUAGAUUUUUAAAUGAUCAAUUGUUUAUUAAAAAUUUAGAAGAAAUAAAAGGCGGGGAUAGAUUUUGACCCGUCGCUGUAUAUAAAACAAUUUUGUUCAAGAAUAAAUCCCUGGAAUGAAA